GUUGUGUACAUGUAAAAUUAAAAACGAGGAUGUAUCCACAUCACCGUUGCACAUUGUUAUUAAUUUCACAGUUAUCUGUUCUUUAUUAGAGAUAGCCUAAUUAAAGACGGCGCUAAUAAAAUGUGAAGGUGGAUAUAAAGAAAUAAGGUCAAUUUCCGCACUGACAGUAUAGCAAGUAGUCUUAUAUAACAUAUUAAAAAUAUUCCAUGGUUAAAAAUGCACGAUGUUAUAUAGUAAAAGAGUGUGUUUGAGUAAUCAAUAGGAUAUUUUGUAUUGGCUAUAUUGUUUCACUCGUAAAGAAAAUACCAAAAUCGACGUGCGAAACGUAAAAAUUUAUAUCUGAAAUAAUAUUGUUAAGGGCGUUAAGCUAGUUAAAAAUAAUCACGAUUAUUUACUAUGUAUAAAUUAGAUAAAACGUUAAGAUGUAAAUUCUUAUCAUAAAUAUAAAAUGCACAUAAUAUUAUAAUAUUCAUUCAUAUUUCAUUAUUUCAGGUAAAAGUACAAACAUAUUGUUUUAAAUCCUAUGUAAUCAGCACUUUAUGUUGGAUUUCAACAAUGCUUAAUUAAUUAUCGGGUGUAGCAGCGGUGUACAUUACCCAUAUGAUAUAACGCAAAGGUAACGGUCAAGCGACUUCCCACAUUUAUAUGACAUGUUUUAUUAUCGUUAUCAGGUAUCUGUUAUGUGUCAACGGAUUAACGGACAUUGGUUGAUUACCCGAUAAUAUGCAAGUAUCAAAUGAUUUAGAUUCAUAAGUUAUGGGAAAACAUUAUAUGCCUGACCUGAAAAAUGUAAGUCAUAACAAAUAAUUAUAUUAUAAGUUCACUUACCAGAAUCACAACCUAAGUGUUGCCAUCGCUCGCAGGCAUCGCAAGAAACAGCACGUUGCCUCUGCCCAACUGUCUUUCCACAAUGUAUGCACUUUACCACUUCUGCCAUUGCAGAAACACAAAACUCACUUACUCUCACAGUAAAAUUAUUGUAUCCUACAUUUAAGAAGCACAAAUGUUUGAAAUAUUUAUAUAAAUUAGUUCAAUUUAUGAUUCACUGUGUGUGUUUCAGAGUUUAUUUACAGGUCCUACUGGCCUCUUCACGAGGUUAUGGUAGCCCGACCUGCCCCUGUGACCUCUCAGGGGAAAAAGAUUAAUUUAGAGCCAAAGUAGGUCAAAUUUACCCCGGCUUCCCGGGUAUUCGCCAAAUAAUUUAAUUUUAAAGAGAGUUUCGUGCACGUUGGCCAAUGAGACCUUAAUGUGUUAUUUACCGUAAGGUGGUGAUGAGGUGCGGAUCCCGCCGAGUGUCCCGCACACUACUUAUGUACAAGACACUCAACGCGACCCACAUACCAACACCACUCGGUAAGUAAGACCCGGAAUACACACACAUAACGCUCUCACAACCCCCCACUCAUAACGGGUGAUGUGUAUGAGAGUGCCACGCCCAUGUGUUCCGGGUCCCUUGAUGUUGAUCUGUGUAUGGUUGUGUAUAGUAUGUGGUAUGUGAUUGUUGUGCAUUUGUCUGGAGCGGAAGAGGAGAUGUCUGUCGGUUAUUUACGGUCGUCGGUCAGUCGUGAAGGGCUGUAUAUCGUUGCAGUUCCCAGAUCGCAGAACACGCCGCCCCCGCACAAGCGCACCCACGCCGAGCGAGCCCGAGCCCCCCCCCCCCCGCGCCCGCAUACGGCCCCGGCCCUAGCACCCAACCGCUGAAGACCCUCGAGACAAGCACCCUCAUCCACCCUCUCGCUGCGCGCGACAACAGAUCAGUCAAGAACCAACCAUGGAGCCCCCCAAAGCCCCACCCGGAGUCACCAUCGUUCUUUCCCACCCACCUGCCAAACAUCCAGACCAUGUAUCAAGCUGGGAUAUUUCAGGGGCGAAUUGUCUUGGGGUGAGAUUUCUUUGGGGCGAGUUGUCUGAUUCCCAUUCCGAAUGGACUUUGAAAGAAACGAACGACAACUUUGUAAGAAAACCCGCCAAUGGGGCUCGCGACCAAUCGGAUGGAUGCUAUGCCUGCUGGGAUAGCCAUGCUCUUUUUCGACGCGGACAGUGGACCCGACAUGACCGACUUAACGGACUCGACGUGACGGACUCGACCUGAUCAAUUUUCUUUAUUCUUAGACUUAAGUCUAAGAAUUGUUUGGUGAAUACGGGCCUAGCAGAUUCUUUUGUGCACGAGAUGCGGUCAAAAAGAAGAAAAGACGAAAGAACCAAUCCAGACUUGGUGGCAGAGGAAAGUAUAAAAAAGAAUGCAGAUCUUGGUGGAUUUUGUGUGGAUACAAUUCCACCUAAAGGUAGAGGAGUUAGAACAGAAGUUCAUAGAAACAAGGGCGACUUUCUCCUUACCUAUCAUGGAGAAUUAAUCACAGGAGAAGAAGGCAAUAAAAGAGAACUAAUGUCUGUCUCUGUCUUCAGAUUCUUCUUUUCUUUCAAAGGGAAGCAGUGGUGGUAAGCAGAUGACUUUUAUGUUCUUCC